UUAAGUUCAGCGGGUAAUCCCGCCUGAUUUCAGAUCAAAGGUAAAGGGGUAGCCGCAAACUUGGGCAAACCAAUCCCCACACUAUAACAAAUCAGAUUUAUCAAGUGCGAAAGACCUUUUGGCCUACCCUUGCGACAAUUUUUCCAGCCGAGACAACUCCCACAAGAGGAGCGCUGGGCCACCAGUUAUGCUCUUUCCCC
rnacentral:misc_RNA from 1 species